AUUGAACGCUGGCGGCAUGCUUUACACAUGCAAGUCGAACGGGCUUAGGGGCUUGCUCCUAAGUUAGUGGCGAACGGGUGAGUAAUGCAUCGGAACGUACCGUGUAGUGGGGGAUAACCCGGCGAAAGUCGGAUCAAUACCGCAUACGAUCUAAGGAUGAAAGCAGGGGAUCGCAAGACCUUGCGCUAUACGAGCGGCCGAUGUCGGAUUAGCUAGUUGGUAGGGUAAAGGCCUACCAAGGCAACGAUCCGUAGCGGGUCUGAGAGGAUGAUCCGCCACACUGGGACUGAGACACGGCCCAGACUCCUACGGGAGGCAGCAGUGGGGAAUUUUGGACAAUGGACGAAAGUCUGAUCCAGCCAUGCCGCGUGAGUGAAGAAGGCCUUCGGGUUGUAAAGCUCUUUUGUCCGGGAGCAGAUCCUGUUCACUAAUACUGAGCGGGGCUGAGAGUACCGGAAGAAUAAGCACCGGCUAACUACGUGCCAGCCGCCGCUGUAAAAC
rnacentral:rRNA from 1 species